GAUGAACGCUAGCGGCAGGCCUAAUACAUGCAAGUCGAACGAGAUUAAGAGGCUUGCUUCUUAUGAAAGUGGCGCACGGGUGCGUAACGCGUAUGCAACCUACCUUAAUCAGGGGGAUAGCCCGAAGAAAUUCGGAUUAAGACCGCAUAAAAACACAGGAUAGCAUUAUCCAAUGUUCAAAUAUUUAUAGUAUUAAGAUGGGCAUGCGUGUCAUUAGCUAGUUGGCGGGGUAACGGCCCACCAAGGCGACGAUGACUAGGGGAUCUGAGAGGAUGACCCCCCGCACUGGUACUGAGACACGGACCAGACUCCUACGGGAGGCAGCAGUAAGGAAUAUUAGUCAAUGGAGGGAACUCUGAACCAGCCAUGCCGCGUGCAGGAAGACAGCCCUCUGGGUCGUAAACUGCUUUUAUUCGAGAAUAAACCUUUCUACGUGUAGGAAGCUGAAUGUACCGAAGGAAUAAGGAUCGGCUAACUCCGUG
rnacentral:rRNA from 1 species